CUGCUGCCUUCCGUAGGAGUUUGGUCCGUGUCUCAGUACCAGUGUGGGGGACCUUCCUCUCAGAACCCCUACGCAUCGUCGGUUAGGUGGCCGUUACCCCGCCUACUGCCUAAUGCGCCGCAUGCCCAUCCCUGUCCGGCCGAAGCCUUUCCUGCCUCCGGGAUGCCCCGGUGGCAUGUACGCGGGUUUAGCCCGCCUUUCGGCGGUUGUCCCCCUGACAGGGGCAGGUUGCAUACGUGUUACUCACCCGUGCGCCGGUCGCCGGCGGAGAAAG
rnacentral:rRNA from 1 species